UGCUCCCCUAGGCUGCCUGGGGGAACAUUGCAUGUAGAAGGGCUCAGGCCAGAUGAGCCCUGAUGUGGAGGCCUUAUCACACUGGGGAGGCCUCAAAUGCGUCUGAAUAUCCGAACUCCCUUAGAUAUCAGCUCCUCUGUCCUCAGACCUGAUAUCAUGCUGUCAGCAGCAACUUGAUGACCACAACUGUUUAAGGGUGAUUUUGUGCCUUGCAGUUUUCCUUGCUCUAUAAGUAACCCAAUCUCUCUUGCUCCCUUCAACCUUGAGGCCCAUUUUGCCACAGACUAGAAACUAUCUAUUUAGUUUUCUAGUGCAUCGGCCUGCAGAGGUAAAAUUGACUCAGCUGAAGAAUCUAAUCUCAAGGAACUCACGGUCAAGUUGACUCUCUGAUCCAUCAGCUCAUCAGGUGUCCUUGCCUCUUAGCUUGUUAGCUUACACGGUCCCAGAACAAUGUGACCCCGGAGAAUUCUUCAUUUAUUACCAGUUACUGUUGUGUUGUGAAGAACAAGGAGAUGGGUGAACAGCGUGUGGCCCAUGGCCGGGUACAGAGGACGUGCUUCCAAAAUCGCCUUUGUUAUGCAGCUGUGUUGUGAGCCAUCCUGCCUGCUUCCUGACUCCCCUGGCGGGCUGUUGGGAGGAGGGUGUGUGUGAUGCUGUUGCAAAUGCUCACAUGCCACAGCCCCUGGAGCCAUGUUCCUGCCCAGAGAAGUGUUGGCACUGCUCUACCCAGGGCUUCACCUCCAAGCUGUGGGGCUGGACAAAGAAGGUAGGGGAGGUGAUGUGAUCAUUCACACACAUCUGUCUCCAGCACAUUUAACUGAGGAACGAGUCUCAGAAUUACUCACUGUGAGAAGUUAGACAUGGUGUAGACAUUUCUCCAAAUGCUAACAUUAUGUAAGGGCAUGAUAUUGCCUUUUUUUUUUUUUUUUUUUUUUUAAGAAGGAUGACUAAAAAUCAAUGUUAGGUGGUUGAUUUUAACCAAGUCAAUGAAAAGAGAAAAAAAAAAGAAAAAGAAAUCAACUGUUCAAUAAUGAAACUAUAUCCAUCCAUCCCUACUGGGGGAGGAAGUGUUUUGAGUAUAACAAAAAUGCAGCCAGUCAAUAAAGAAACUCCAGGAUCUAUUUCAAUUUUUU